CACCGCGGUUAUACGAGAGGCCCAAGUUGACAUUCAUCGGCGUAAAGAGUGGUUAGGGACAUAAAUAAACUAGGACUAAACGCCCUUCCUGCUGUUAUACGCAACUAAGGGUAGGAAACCCAACUACGAAAGUGGUCCUAUAACACCUGAACCCACGAAAGCUAUGACA
rnacentral:rRNA from 1 species